AUUGCAAUUUCCUCUAAUCCCUUUUAGGGAUUGAAAC
rfam:Desertifilum sp. IPPAS B-1220 NODE_20_length_106246_cov_33.0746, whole genome shotgun sequence.